rnacentral:lncRNA from 1 species
UGAGUGGGAUCAAAAACAUACUUUCGAAGUGUCGAUACAUGAAACACAUUAUGCACUCCGGAUAGGUUCGGCGGCAAGGCAAGCCGAUAUGCUACGGGGCCUAUCCGCUCUAACACCUCGUAGGGUCCAAUAAAUCGAGGGCUUAACUUUCCUCGAAUGCCAAAUCUUUUAACUCCUUUUGUCGGUGAAACCUUCAAAAAUACAUGAUCGCCGACUUGAAAUUCCAAUUCUCGCCGACGUUUAUCCGCAUAACUCUUUUGUCGACUUUGAGCUGUCAGUAGACGUUCUCGCGCCAGUCGCACUUUAGCUUCAGCCUCUUGCAGUACAUCUGGACCCAACACUAACCUCUCACCCACUUCACUCCAAUGAAGUGGUGAUCUACACUUUCUACCAUACAGGGCUUCAAACGGUGCCAUCUGAAUACUUGCGUGAUAACUGUUGUUAUAAGCAAAUUCAGCCAUCGGGAGGAACUGUGGCCAACUGCCCUGGUAGUCAAUCACACAGGCCCUCAACAUAUCCUCAAGGGUCUGGAUGGUACGCUCAGACUGCCCAUCACUCUGGGGGUGGAAAGCAGUACUAAAAUCCAAUCGGGUACCCAAGGCCUCCUGUAAACUUCUCCAAAAAUGUGAAACGAAUCGGGUGUCUCGGUCCGAAACAAUAGAAGCAGGUACUCCAUGUAAUCGCAUAAUUUCAUCAAGGUACACUUGUGCGAGUUUCUCUCCUGACCAAGUCGUGUGGAUUGGAAUAAAGUGGGCAGAUUUGGUUAAUCUAUCCACAAUUACCCAAAUCGCGUCAUGACCUGCUUGUGAGCGAGGUAAUCCAACGAUAAAAUCCAUAGUAAUCCUCUCCCACUUCCACACUGGUAUGGGUAAACUCUGAAGUUUUCCCGCAGGAAGUCGAUGUUCAGCUUUAACUUGCUGACAUGUUAAGCACUUAGCUACAAAGUCUGCAACUUCUGACUUUAAGCACUUAGCACAAAGUUCAACUUCCUUUUUCAUUCCAGGCCACCAGUAGGUUAACUUCAAAUCUUUAUACAUCUUUGUACUUCCAGGGUGUACAGUAUACGGCGCCCGGUGUGCUUCUUUCAAGAUUUCUUCUUUAAUAUCUGGAUUGGCAGGCACACAAAUUCUAUCACCGAAUUUUAGCAAUCCCUGAUCAUCCACUCGAAAAUCGCCAAUUGGAUCAACAGUGAUCUUUGCUCGAAUCUUUUGCAGGGAUUCAUCUUGAGCUUGCUUUUCUUUAAUUCGAUCGAUCAGGGUAGGCCGCACCACUAAUGACAUAAGUCUCCAAGGCGUAUUAGGAGCUACAACUUCCAAAUUUAAUUGCUCCAUUUCCUUUACCAACAGGGAUUGCAUUGUUAUCGACAUCGCCAAAUUUUCCGUCGAUUUUCGACUUAAAGCAUCUGCUACAACAUUAGCUUUUCCCGGAUGAUAGAGAAUGGUCAAAUCAUAAUCCUUGAGCAACUCCAACCAUCUACGUUGCCUCAAGUUUAAUUCCUUCUGAGUAAACAGAUACUUUAAGCUCUUAUGAUCGGUGUAAACCUCGCAACGCUCGCCGUAGAGGUAGUGGCGCCAAAGCUUUAAGGCAAAUACCACCGCUGCUAACUCCAGAUCAUGUGUAGGGUAGUUCUUUUCAUAAUCCUUUAAUUGGCGUGACGCAUAAGCAAUCACCUGGCCAUUCUGCAUUAGAACACACCCUAAGCCAUUCAACGACGCAUCGCUGUAAAUCACAUAGUCCACUCCAGUAACAGGCAGUGCCAGAAUUGGGGCGGUAGUCAAUCGUUCCUUCAGUUCUUGAAAGCUUCUUUCACAGGCUUCGUUCCACAGAAACUUAGCUCCUUUAUGUGUGAGUCGAGUGAGAGGAGUAGACAUCUUUGCAAAUCCCUCUACAAAUCUUCGGUAGUAUCCCGCCAAACCAAGGAAACUCCGAAUCUCUGUGACACUGGUCGGCCUAGGCCAAUCUUUAAUCGCUUCAAUCUUCUGUGGAUCCACAGCUAUCCCAGUUUCUGAAAUCACAUGGCCCAGAAAUGCCACUUCUCGAAGCCAAAAUUCGCAUUUCUUUAACUUGGCAAACAGUUUCUUUUUCUCGAAGUACUUGCAACACCACUCUCAAAUGGUCUUCAUGCUCUUUGUCACUUCGAGAAUAGAUCAAGAUAUCGUCAAUAAACACUACUACGAAUCUAUCCAAAUAGGGCUUAAAGACACGGUUCAUUAAAUCCAUAAAGGCUGCUGGCGCAUUAGUCAAUCCAAAAGGCAUGACUGUAAAUUCAUAAUGCCCAUACCGUGUUCUAAAAGCAGUCUUAGACACAUCUUCAGGCUUAAUCUUGAGCUGAUGAUAGCCCGAUUGCAAAUCGAUUUUGGAGUAUACUUUCGAUCCUUGCAGUUGAUCGAAUAAGUCAUCAAUUCUGGGCAACGGAUAUUUGUUCUUGAUUGUGACUUUGUUGAUUUCUCGAUAAUCCACGCACAAUCGAAGAGAUCCAUCUUUCUUCUUGACAAACAACACCGGUGCUCCCCAAGGCGAUACACUCGGUCGAAUAAAUCCUUUGUCUAAAAGAUCUUGUAAUUGUGCCUUCAGCUCUUUUAACUCAGCGGGUGCCAUUCUAUAGGGUGCUUUAGAAAUAGGAGUUGUCCCAGGGACAAGAUCAAUCACAAACUCCACUUCCCUAUCAGGUGGCAUGCCCGGCAACUCAGCUGGAAACACAUCCCCGAAUUCUCGCACAACUGGAAUAUCAUCAAUCUUGACGGUUUUUCCGUCGCUCACAGAAAUGCUAGCCAAAUAGGCUACACAACCUCUCCGAAUCAACUGUCGUGCUCGCGAAGAGCUAAUGGUCAUUGCGAACAAUGAACUCUGGCACCCUUUAUAAACAAACUCCUGUUGACCCGGUUCCUGAAAGGUCACCGUUCUGUUCGUGCAAUCUAUGGUGGCAUAAUACUGUGUCAACCAAUCCAUACCCAAUACUACAUCAAACUCACCUAGUUUGUGUAGUGCCAAUAAAUCCACUGGCAUGAUCCAGUCGCCUACCCUAACUGGGCAGCGAGGGCAAUACUCACAAAUAUCCAGGGUAUGGUCAGGUACAAUCACUCGUCCUAAAUGCAAAGUGGGUACCAACUGUAUGCUAUGCAACUCGGCGAACUGCCGAUCAAUAAAAGAAUGCGAAGCACCAGUAUCAAAUAAUGCACGAACACGAAUAUCAUAAAGCAUAAUAAUACCUGCUACGACCUCCUGUGCUGCUGUGGCGCCCUCAGUCUGGGUGGCAUACAUCCGCCCACUCGAACCCUGCUGCGAACUCUCCGACUGCCGCUGUCCUGGUGGUCGCCUAGACUGAUAAGGCGCUGUCGGGGUGCCCUGGCUCGGAGCUGAAGAUGCAGGUGCAGAAGCUGACGAGGGUGCAGGCAAAGAACCUCUCGGGCACUCUGAACGAAAGUGGCCCUCCUGGCCGCAAAGAAAGCACCUGCCCCCACGCUGUGGACACUGUGGCGGUACGUGAGGCCCACCACAGAUAACACAACGCGGCGGUCGUCGACGCUCGGGUGCUCCACGGGGUGCUGAAGAUCCUCGACCCCUCGACUGUCCUGACUGUCCCCUCGGAUACUUUGGCGGUCUCCUGAAGGCCUGCUGACCACUGCUCUCAGCUGCUGGUCUCUUGCCUUUGCUUCGAUCCACAACAUCUCUUUCCUUCAUGAUUUCUGCCCCCUUCUCAACAAUCAAAGCCCGGUUCACGACGUCCCGGUAAGUGGAGAGGUUUGACGCCUGGACCAAUCUGAAGAUCGCAGGUCGCAAACCCACCUCAAAAAUACGAGCCUUGUCCUCAUCGUCUCGGACUACAAAAGGAACACAGUGCAGUAAUCGAGAGAACUCUCGCUCGUACUCAGCCACUGUCCUGUCCCCCUGUCUCAAGUUCCUCAGAUCCCUUUCCAUCUGCCUCUUCACACUCUGUGGAAAAUAGGUAGUCAACAACAACUCCUUGAACCUGUUCCACGUGAUAGCAGACAAAUCAGCACGGGGAUCCUCCCGGAUGUCCACCCACCACCUAUAAGCCUCGCCAUCAAGGUGGUGUGUCGCAAACCAAACUCGGUACCGCUCCUCAACAAAAGUGUCAUAGAAUAGUUUCUCCAUAUGCAUUAACCAUUUUUCAACCACCCAAUGAUCUGCUUUCUCCCCAUCAAAGACACGAGGGUUGCAGCGACGGAAUUCAUUCAGUCGUUCCAUCAUCCGCUCUCGCUCCUCAACCCCCACCAUCUCGGGUAACACUGUCCCAACUGCUGCUACAGGUACUGGUGGUGGUACUACUGUCUCCUGUCGGGUCUCUGCCCUCGGAGCUACUGGGGGUGUAUCGGGUACCGGUGACUGUGCUCUCACUGUGGUGCCCCUCUCUGGUACUAUAGGUACAGAAUCCGGAGGUACAGAACCUGGAAUCUCUCUAUCGGUCGUCUGCCGCAGUAAUAGAUCCUCUAACCUCUUCAUCCUGUCCUCCUGCCGACGCGCAGCGUCUAUCUGCUGUCGUGCUGCCGCGGCCUGCUGAGUAACCAACUCUGUCAACGUCGCAAGCUGAUCCUGCAACUCAUGAAGCUCACUGGACCCCGACGUGACGGAAGUCUCUACCUCUUCCGCAGCGGCCGCCUCAGCCGCCCCGGCGGUUCCAGAACGAGUCGUAGGCAUCUUGAACUGCAACACAAAAACAAACAUAGGUCAAUAAACCCUAUACUACUGAACCCUCAUUGAGGAUAUAAACCAGCUAAUCAAGCGAAAGUAAUGAAAUGUAACGCCUACUAACUUCCGAUGUCACGUUGUCGGCCGCCAACGUGACCCUCUGCAAAGUUAGUAGUUGCACAUCCCGAUCAAACUCCUACUAUUCGGAGUUUAUAAGUACCCAAUCAAAGUACUUUCGCUAACAACAACCUCGACUAGACAUCGUCUCUCACGAGCCUAUCCUUAUAGUCCAACCAGCCUAAGGUUUACAAGGUCUACUAAGACUCAACCCUAGGCUUCGUACUCAGCCACUGUCCUGUCCCCCUGUCUCAAGUUCCUCAGAUCCCUUUCCAUCUGCCUCUUCACACUCUGUGGAAAAUAGGUAGUCAACAACAACUCCUUGAACCUGUUCCACGUGAUAGCAGACAAAUCAGCA